AAGGUAACGGCUUACCAAGGCGACGAUCAGUAGCCGACCUGAGAGGUUGAACGGCCACAUUGGGACUGAGAUACGGCCCAGACUCCUACGGGAGGCAGCAGUGGGGAAUAUUGCACAAUGGGGGAAACCCUGAUGCAGCGACGCCGCGUGAAGGAAGAAGUAUCUCGGUAUGUAAACUUCUAUCAGCAGGGAAGAAAGUGACGGUACCUGACUAAGAAGCCCCGGCUAACUAC
rnacentral:rRNA from 1 species